rnacentral:rRNA from 1 species
GACGAACGCUGGCGGCGUGCUUAACACAUGCAAGUCGAGCGGUAAGGCCCUUUCGGGGGUACGACGAGCGGCGAACGGGUGAGUAACACGUGGGUGACCUGCCCUCAGCUCUGGGGUAAGGCCUGGGAAACCGGGUCUAAUACCGGAUAUGACUCCAUGACGCAUGUUGUGGGGUGGAAAGCCUUGUGCGGCUGAGGAUGGGCCCGCGGCCUAUCAGCUUGUUGGUGGGGUGAUGGCCACCAAGGCGACGACGGGUAGCCGGCCUGAGAGGGCGACCGGCCACACUGGGACUGAGACACGGCCCACGACUCCUACGGGAGGCAGCAGUGGGGAAUCUUGCGCAAUGGGCGAAAGCCUGACGCAGCGACGCCGCGUGAGGGAUGACGGCC